rnacentral:rRNA from 1 species
AGUUUGAUCCUGGCUCAGGAUGAACGCUGGCGGCGUGCUUAACACAUGCAAGUCGAACGGGAAUUACUUUAUUGAAACUUCGGUCGAUUUAAUUUAAUUCUAGUGGCGGACGGGUGAGUAAUACAUAGGUAACCUGCCCCUGUGCGGGGGAUAACAGGAGGAAACUCCUGCUAAUACCGCAUAGCCAUGAGCACCGCAUGGAGCUCAUGCCAAAUAUCCUUUCGGGGAUAGCGCAGGGAUGGACCUAUGGCGCAUUAGCUGGUUGGCGGGGCAACGGCCCACCAAGGCAACGAUGCGUAGCCGGCCUGAGAGGGCGGACGGCCACAUUGGGACUGAGACACGGCCCAGACUCCUACGGGAGGCAGCAGUAGGGAAUUUUCGGCAAUGGGGGAAACCCUGACCGAGCAACGCCGCGUGAGCGAAGAAGGCCUUCGGGUCGUAAAGCUCUGUUGUAAAGGAAGAACGGCGCAUACAGGAAAUGGUAUGCGAGUGACGGUACUUUACCAGAAAGCCACGGCUAACUACGUGCCAGCAGCCGCGGUAAUACGUAGGUGGCGAGCGUUAUCCGGAAUCAUUGGGCGUAAAGAGGGAGCAGGCGGCCGCAAGGGUCUGUGGUGAAAGCCCGAAGCUAAACUUCGGUAAGCCAUGGAAACCGGGCGGCUAGAGUGCGGAAGAGGAUCGUGGAAUUCCAUGUGUAGCGGUGAAAUGCGUAGAUAUAUGGAGGAACACCAGUGGCGAAGGCGACGGUCUGGGCCGCAACUGACGCUCAUUCCCGAAAGCGUGGGGAGCAAAUAGGAUUAGAUACCCUAGUAGUCCACGCCGUAAACGAUGGUCACUAAGUGUCGGGGGUCAAACCCCGGUGCUGCAGUCAACGCAAUAAGUGACCCGCCUGAGUAGUAUGUUCGCAAGAAUGAA